rnacentral:rRNA from 1 species
GACGAACGCUGGCGGCGUGCUUAACACAUGCAAGUCGAACGAGUGGCGAACGGGUGAGUAAUACGUGAGUAACCUGCCCUCUUUUUGGGAUAAGCCUUGGAAACGGGGUCUAAUACCGGAUAAAGGGGGAUGGGCUCGCGGCCUAUCAGCGUUGUGGUGGGGUGAUGGCCUACCAAGGCGGUGACGGGUAGCCGGCCUGAGAGGGUGACCGGUGACGUGGGGAGUGAGAUACGGCCCAGAGUCGUACGGGUGGGAGCAGUGCGGGAUAUUGCACAAUGGGCGAAAGCCUAAUGCAGCGGCGCCGCGUGGGGGAUGAAGGCUUUCGGGUUGUAAACCUCUUUCGCUAUCGAACGUGUAGGUGGAGAAGAAGCGCCGGCUAACUACGUGCCAGCCGCCGCGGUAAUAC